GGGGUAAAGGUGAGAAUAGUUGUGGAGAUUUCACUUUGCUGUUAGUCUCUUUUCUAUCUAUCCUAAUUUCUUCUAUCCUACCUCAGAAGUACUACAAGAUCAUGAGGAAAACUACAUUACAAUGAUUUUUUUGCAUUUGACCCCAAAAGCACAGAUUGAAAAUCAUCAAUAGACCAAAGGGAUUGCAUCCAACUAAAAAAUUUCUCCAUAGCAAAAGAAGUAGUUAACAGAAUGAAGAUAUGAUACAUAGACAGGAAGAAAAAUAUGUGCAAGCAAUAUAUCUAAUAAGGAUUUUUUUUAAAAUCCUCAAUAGCAAAAAGUAUAACCUGGUUAAUAAAUGGGAAAAGAAUGAAACUGAACAGACAUUUCUCAAAGAAGACAUUCAGAAGGUCAACAGAUGCAUUAAAAAAUCCUCAACAUCAUUAAUCAUAAGGGAAAUACAAAUGAAGGCUACAGUGAGCUAUCAUUUCAUAAGUGUCACAAUGGCCAGUAUCAAAAAGUAGGAAAAUAACAAGUAUUGGUGAGGAUGUGGAGAAAGGGAAUUCUUGGUACACUGUGGGUAGAAAUGUGAAUUAAUACAGCCAUUAUGGGAGACUCUAUGGAAGUACCUCCAAAAAGUAAAAAUAGAAUAAUUACCAUAUGCUCUUGCAAUGCUACUUCUGGGUAUAUAUCCGAAGUAUUUAAAAUAAGUAUCUCAAAUAAAUAUCUGCACUCUCUUGUUCAUCUCUGUAUUAUUCCCAAUAGCCAAGAUAUGGUAUCAAUCUAAGGGUCCAUCAACUGAUGAAUGAUGUGGCGUAUAUACACAAUGGAAUGUUACUACUGGUUUUAAGUAGCCUGUGACUAGAUGGGUAAACCUAGAGGAUGGGUGAAAUCAGCCAGGUGUAGAAA
rnacentral:lncRNA from 1 species